AUUGGGGGUUUUCUCUGAUGUUUCUCUCCAUCCUCACAGGAGUCAGCUGUGAAGAACUCACUCCAGUAGAGAAAGAAGAGAACAGUUUAGAAGACAGCUCUGUUACUCUGUCCUACAGAUACUCCAAAGGUUCUGCUGAUUAUUUCUUCUGGUACCGACAAUAUCCAGGAAAACCUCCAGAGUUCAUCAUCUCUCAUUUAGGAACAGGCGGAAUAAUGAAAAAUCCAAUCCCUGGACUGUCUUCUUCAGUGAGUGAGGAUAAAACCAAAAUGGAUCUGAAGAUCUCCUCAGCUAAGCUGUCUGACUCUGCUGUGUACUACUGUGCUCUGCAGCCCACAGUGACAGGAAACACCAAAACUCUGUACAAAAACCUUUGGAGCAAAGACAACACAAUACUCCACAACUUCCACCAGAGGGAGACACACUCUGUUAACCUUCAGAGUAUUUCAUGAGCCAGUCAGGAUUCUUUUCACUAAUGAAACCCAGUUGUGAUGAAGACUUGGAGAAAUGAAAGUAAGUCAACAUCUGAGUCUCCUCCUCCUGACUGCAGAGGUGGCUUCAUGACAGACAACUGUUUGAUUCCAGCUGUGAACAUCAGACCAAACAACUCACAACACUUAUUCAUCCUGAACCUUC